UGAGGAAUAUUGGUCAAUGGGCGCAAGCCUGAACCAGCCAUGCCGCGUGCAGGAUGACUGCCCUAUGGGUUGUAAACUGCUUUUAUACGGGAAGAAACCCCUCCACGUGUGGAGGAUUGACGGUACCGUAAGAAUAAGGAUCGGCUAACUCCGUGCCAGCAGCCGCGGUAAUACGGAGGAUCCAAGCGUUAUCCGGAAUCAUUGGGUUUAAAGGGUCCGUAGGCGGGUCUGUAAGUCAGUGGUGAAAUCUCCCGGCUCAACCGGGAAACUGCCAUUGAUACUGCAGGUCUUGAAUGUUUGUGAAGUAACUAGAAUAUGUAGUGUAGCGGUGAAAUGCUUAGAUAUUACAUGGAAUACCGAUUGCGAAGGCAGGUUACUAACAAAUGAUUGACGCUGAUGG
rnacentral:rRNA from 1 species